rnacentral:rRNA from 1 species
ACGCUAGCUACAGGCUUAACACAUGCAAGUCGAGGGGCAUCAGGAAGAAAGCUUGCUUUCUUUGCUGGCGACCGGCGCACGGGUGAGUAACACGUAUCCAACCUGCCCUUUACUCGGGGAUAGCCUUUCGAAAGAAAGAUUAAUACCCGAUGGCAUAAUGAUUCCGCAUGGUUUCAUUAUUAAAGGAUUCCGGUAAAGGAUGGGGAUGCGUUCCAUUAGGUUGUUGGUGAGGUAACGGCUCACCAAGCCUUCGAUGGAUAGGGGUUCUGAGAGGAAGGUCCCCCACAUUGGAACUGAGACACGGUCCAAACUCCUACGGGAGGCAGCAGUGAGGAAUAUUGGUCAAUGGGCGCUAGCCUGAACCAGCCAAGUAGCGUGAAGGAUGAAGGCUCUAUGGGUCGUAAACUUCUUUUAUAUAAGAAUAAAGUGCAGUAUGUAUACUGUUUUGUAUGUAUUAUAUGAAUAAGGAUCGGCUAACUCCGUGCCAGCAGCCGCGGUAAUACGGAGGAUCCGAGCGUUAUCCGGAUUUAUUGGGUUUAAAGGGAGCGUAGGUGGACUGGUAAGUCAGUUGUGAAAGUUUGCGGCUCAACCGUAAAAUUGCAGUUGAUACUGUCAGUCUUGAGUACAGUAGAGGUGGGCGGAAUUCGUGGUGUAGCGGUGAAAUGCUUAGAUAUCACGAAGAACUCCGAUUGCGAAGGCAGCUCACUGGACUGCAACUGACACUGAUGCUCGAAAGUGUGGGUAUCAAACAGGAUUAGAUACCCUGGUAGUCCACACAGUAAACGAUGAAUACUCGCUGUUUGCGAUAUACAGUAAGCGGCCAAGCGAAAGCAUUAAGUAUUCCACCUGGGGAGUACGCCGGCAACGGUGAAACUCAAAGGAAUUGACGGGGGCCCGCACAAGCGGAGGAACAUGUGGUUUAAUUCGAUGAUACGCGAGGAACCUUACCCGGGCUUAAAUUGCAGUGGAAUGAUGUGGAAACAUGUCAGUGAGCAAUCACCGCUGUGAAGGUGCUGCAUGGUUGUCGUCAGCUCGUGCCGUGAGGUGUCGGCUUAAGUGCCAUAACGAGCGCAACCCUUAUCUUUAGUUACUAACAGGUCAUGCUGAGGACUCUAGAGAGACUGCCGUCGUAAGAUGUGAGGAAGGUGGGGAUGACGUCAAAUCAGCACGGCCCUUACGUCCGGGGCUACACACGUGUUACAAUGGGGGGUACAGAAGGCAGCUAGCGGGUGACCGUAUGCUAAUCCCAAAAUCCUCUCUCAGUUCGGAUCGAAGUCUGCAACCCGACUUCGUGAAGCUGGAUUCGCUAGUAAUCGCGCAUCAGCCACGGCGCGGUGAAUACGUUCCCGGGCCUUGUACACACCGCCCGUCAAGCCAUGGGAGCCGGGGGUACCUGAAGUACGUAACCGCAAGGAUCGUCCUAGGGUAAAACUGGUGACUGGGGC